UACAGAGGGUGCAAGCGUUAAUCGGAAUUACUGGGCGUAAAGCGCGCGUAGGUGGUUCAGUAAGAUCGAAGUGAAAUCCCCGGGCUUAACCUGGGAACUGCUUUCAUAACUGCUGGGCUAGAGUACGGUAGAGGGUAGUGGAAUUUCCUGUGUAGCGGUGAAAUGCGUAAAUAUCAGGAGGAACACCCGUGGCGAAGGCUGCUACCUGGAACGUUACUGACGCUGAGGCGCGAAAGCUAGGGGAGCGAACGGGAUUAGAUACCCCCGUAGUCCCUGAGCGGG
rnacentral:rRNA from 1 species